GGUAAGGUGGCUGAGUGUUUAAGCGGUGGAUUGUAGCUCCACAAACAGAGGUUCAAACCCUCUCCGUACCA
rnacentral:tRNA from 1 species